UACCUUUUCUAUAAACAAAUGCUGAAUAGUGGCAUUAAGGUUUCCUUCCCAACGUCCUACACAUUCACCUUCAGUUGAUUGUAUUCCUUGCAGCUUUGGUGCGCUUAACUCUCCCUUAGAGAAUAUUUCCAUCUUUGGACAUUGUCUCAUGAUUACCUUUUCCAAGGAAGGGAAUCCAAGCAUAUAAUUCCCUGAGCAGAACCUUGAUAGACUAGGAAGACCACCAAAUUCUAAAGACCAUAGUUCGGAGAAAAUAAUGCCAUCCAUCACUUCAUCACUUGAAGAAGCUAUAAUUUCUUCUAACAUUUGGUUAAGAAAUACUCAUUUGGCAAUCUGUAAUACUCAUUUGGUUAAGAAAUACCAUGCUCUUAGCCGUUGGGAGUGUUACUAAAUUCAUAAAUCCAUGACAUCUUGAUACUUUCAGAAUUCUCAAAUUUUUGAAAGACACCGAAAAUGACACUAAAUUCUUUAGUUUGCCACAUCCCAACACUUUCAAAUAUCUCAAGUUGUUGAAAACCACUUCUCCAAGUGGAAUUUCUUCUUUCGAGAGAUGUGUAAGCUCAGGAAGUUCUGAUAGCCUUAAUUCAGUGGCUGUUACUUCAUGUGAUUCAUUGGAAUUGGGUCCAUGAGGUCCAAUUAUUUCUUCUAAUGAAUCACAGUUCACUAUCUCCAGUGUUUCUAGCUUCUCAAGUCUUUCCACCAUGUUAAAUGGAAAAAUAUUUGGAAGUCUUUCACAGUCUUUCACCAUAAGAUAUUGCAGAUUACAAAAUGAAUUCAUAGUGAUGUUAUCAUCCCAUAUUUUCCUCCAUUCCCCCAUGCCUUCCAUAUACAAAUAAUAUAAAUAGGGGAAUGCCACCUGCAGAAUUUAUUUUCUUUGUUAAUGAGGGAAAAUAAACUAUAGUCCGACUAGAUAAGAUACAAGAAAGGGUUGGGAAAGUAACAAUUUCACUAGUAGAACAAACAUAUACAAUUAAUAGAGGAAAGAGAAGUGACCAAAAUAUACAUACAAACAUAAUGGAAGAAAAUAAACACUAUAUUUCAUAAGAAGGAAGUAGUAAGUAAAAAUAUUUUAUUUAUAAUUUUAUCUUAACCUUUUUUUUCUCUAGUUUUCAUCCUUCAUACCAAAUACAAGGAAAACUAAUUAUUUUUUUUUCUUUCCUCAAUUUUUCCCCUUCCCUCCAUUUUGAUUAGGAAGCAAAAUAAGGCAUUUAUGUGCGCAGAGACUAUAAUUAAGUUUUUCAAAUCUUUUUUGCAUCAUUAAGUUUGCUUUUUGUUUUUUUUGGGUUUGGAGCAUAUAAAUUUCCAAUUUAUCCAUUUUUUAAUUAUUUUAUUUUGCAAAUCCUCAUUUUUCUUUUCUGCAAAAGAAGACAUUUUCUUUUCCUAUGUUACAAAGAUAUUUACAUUUACUACACUUUUAUAAUUUGAGCUUUUAAAUUAUUAGUUCUCAACACGUGUCACAUGCGUAAGUACAUAUAUUUAAAACAACUGACUGUAAGAAUAAUCUUAAUGAUGAUAAAGAUAAAUAGAUAAAUUUAUUUUAUAAUGUAAAUUUGCUUAAAUGACAAUGUAAUUUGCCCUUUAUAUUGGAAACAGUAUAUUAUAAAUUUUCCUUUGGAUAUUCAUUAUUUUCAUAUAUAAAUAUGUUUAAAUUCUAAUAUUAUAAACAUAUUUUGACCAAUUUGUUAAGUUAAUUAUUCAUAACCAUAACUUUUAUGUAGCUAUUUGUACAUUAUCAAGUAUAUUUAAGUGGACUAACAGGCUAAGACCAUUAAGAUUAAACAAAAGAGAUCUCCAGAGAAGAAAAAACCAUAUUUGAGUGGUCUUAAAAAAAAAACCACAAUAAAUAUUAAUUUUUCAAAAUAAAUUCUUUUAAAAUUUAUUAAAACGAAAACAAAAUAUACUAACCGUGUUAUCGAAAAAGACAGUAUCAACAAUUCUGUUAGAAAGUCUUGUCGUAUUUCCUCCAUCAAUCAUUUCUAUUCUUUGCUCUCUUGAAAAUGCAGAUGCAAAUGCAAACAUCUGGGGACAACCAACCACCUUAACUACUCCCAAGGAUGGAAAUUCCAGUAUCUUACUUCCUUGAUAGAAACUUGCCAAGUCCGCACAAGAUUCAAGACUUAGAAACCGUAAUAGCGGGAGCACAUUCUUAUUUGCCACUUGUUCAUCUGGUCCUUCAUCUGUGAUGAUAUGUUCCAUCACAAUGCAAUUUUUUACUAUCAGCGUAUGAAGUUGUGGUAGGCCCAAAGCCAUGGAAAGUGUAAAAAGGCACCUCAGGGUGCUACAAUCAUCGACUUCUAAAACUUCAAGACGUUUGAAGGGUAAAAUUCUUUGAGGAUUUUGUAUCUUCGUGAACUCAGAAGUAUCAGAGAGUCUCAAAUGGUGAUAUUCAACCUAUGGAAUCCAAUGAAUUGGACUAGUUAGUACAAUAAUAAUUAAAAUUGUUAAAACCUAAAACAAUACUCUUUAUUUAAAAAAAGAAAACUGAUAUAAUUAAUAGGUUCAAACUAAAUUAGAACCAAUUUUAGUUCUUUAUAGAUAUGUAAUUAAUUUGCAUUUAAAAUAGUACAAAAAAAAAAGACAACAGAGGAAAGACUAGAUGCUUUACUAUUUUAAAUAGUAUAAUUACAUAACAUUCUUCAAACAGCCGUUUGAAGAAAAAAUUUUAAAUUGAUGCUUUACUAUUUUAUACAUUUUGUAAUCAUAAGGAAUAUCGUAUUGAAAGAGAAAAACAAGAAUUUUUGAAUUAGCUACGCAUUGAAGCCCCAAAACUACACUUUUAUAGUAAAUUUCUUUAUUAAUAGCUAGAAGCUCUAUGCUAAAUUAAUAAACUAAUUCUGCAACAAUUCUACAUUAAAUAUUAGUAAAUUUCACAGUCUUUUACCGUAAGGUAUCGCAGAUUACAAAAUGAAUUCAUAGUGACCUUAUCAUCCCAUAUUUUCCUCAAUUCCCUCGUGCCUUCAAUAUGCAAAUAAUAUAAACGAGGGAAUGCCACCUGUAGAAUUUAUUUUCUUUGUUAAUGAGGGAAAAUAAAUUGUAGUCCUACAAGAUAAGAUACAAGAAAGGGUUGGGAAAGUAACAAUUUCAAUAUUAGAAUAAAUGUAUACAACUAAUAGAGGGAAAAAAAAGCAAAAAAAUAUUAAUACAAACAUAAUGAAAAAUGUUACCUUCUAUUCAUUUUAUUUUUCUUUCCUCGCUUUUUCCCCUUCCCCCUUUUUGAUUAGGAAGCAAAAUAAGUCUCUGCGCAGAGACUACAAUCAAGUUUUUCAAAUCUUUUUUGUAUUAUUAAGUUUGCUUUUUUGUUUUUUUUGAAUUGGGAGCAUAUGAAUAUCGAAUGUAUCCAUUUUUUAAUUAUUUUAUUUUACAAAUCCUCAUUUUUCUUUUCUACAAAAGAAGACAUUUUCUUUUCUUAUGUUACAAAGACAUUUACAUUUUCUACACUUUUUGCUUUUCUUAUGAUUUGAACUUUUGAAUUAUUAGUUCUCAACACGUGUCGCAUGUAUAAGUACAUAUAUUUAAAAAAAAUUGACUUUAAGAAUAAUCUUAAUAAUGAUGAUAAAUAGAGGAAUUUACUUUAAUUAUAAUGUAAAUUUGCUUAAAUGACAAUGCAAUUUGUCCUUUAAAUUUGGAAACAGUUUAUUUUGAAUUUUCCUAUAGAUAUUAAAUAUUUGCAUAUAUAAAUAUGUCUAAGUUUUCAUAUUAAACAAAAAUAUUUUGACCAAUUUGUUAAUUUACAUGUUCAUAACCAUAGAUUUUAUGUAGCUAUUUUGCACAUUAUCAAGUAUAUUUGAGUGGACUAAAAGCCUAGGACCAUUAAGAUUAAACAAAAGAGAACUCUAGAAAAGGAAAAACCAUAUAUUUGAGUGGCCUUAACAAAAUAAUUUUUAAAAAAUAACCACCAUAAAAAUUAAUUUCUCAAAAUAAAAUCCUUUUAAAAUUUAUUAAAAUAAAAUAGAAACAAAAUAUACUAACUGUGUUAUCGAAAAAGGCAAUAUCAACAAUUCCCUUGGAAAGCUUUUUCAAGGAGAAUUCAUAGUUGCUUCUAUGACAGAAUCUCGUGAGAUUGGGAAGGUCUCGGAGCUCCAAAAGUUCUAGUUUAGGAAAAACUUGGCCCAUCAUAUCUUCUUCUAUAUCCUCUGUGACUAUUAUCUCUUUUAAGCACUUGCAUCCAUUUAUUUCAAAGCUUUUGAGAUGUGUUAGACUUCUACACAUAGAAAAUGAUAGUAUGUGUUUUAAAUUGUGACAAUCCUCAAUGGCCAAACUUGUCAAAUUCUGAAGGUAGUUACAAAAGAUUGAAGAUUGGUUGGGCCAUAUCCUUUCAACAUUGAGUGAGUCCAAUCGUAGCUUCUCCAAGCAAGGGAACUUUAUCUACACAAAUGUAAUUCUUAUACAUUAAAAAUUAUUAAAAAACAUAAAAAAUUCAAAUUUCAAUAUAAUAAUUACAUAACAUUCAUGCUAUAUAUAAAAAAGAGUGAUGUUUUUUUUAUAGCAUAAAUGCAAUAAGAAAAGGAGAGUAUAGUCACCUUUUCAUUGAAGAGAUGAAGGAAAUUGAUCUCUGAGUUCUUUUCUUCUGCUUUUUGGAUAAUAUGAAUUUCAUUUGCCAUGGUAGAUUUGGAGAUAAAUGUCUUGAAUGCAGGACAAUCCCCUAUAAUAAGCUCUUUCAACAAGGGGAGUUCAAAGUUACUUCCAUGGCACAAUCUUGUGAGAUUGGGAAGGUCUCGGAGCUUCAAAAGUUCUAGUUUAGGGAAAACCCGGCCCAUCAUAUCUUCUUCUAUAUCUUCUGUGACUAUUAUCUCCUUUAAACAAUUGCAUCCAUUUAUUUCAAAACUUUUGAGAUGUACUAGACUUCGGCACACAGAAAAUGAUAGUAUGUGUUUUAAAUUGUGACAACCCCCAAUGGUCAAACUUGUCAAAUUUUGGAGGUAGUUAGAAAUGAUUGAAGAUUGGUUGGGCCAUAUCCUUUCAACAUUGAGUAAUUCCAAUUCCAACUUCUCCAAGCAAGGGAACUUCAUCUACACAAAUGUAAUUUUCAUACAUUAAAAAUUAUUACAAAACACAAAAAAAUUCAAGUUUCGAUAUAACAAUUACAUAAUAUUUAUGCUUUAUAUAAAAAAAAUGAAUGAUGUUUGUGAAUGCAGUGAUAGUGCAGUUAAGGAGAAAUUACUUCCCAUUCUAAUGACGAAAUGAUUUGGAAUAAAUUUUAAAAAAGACAGUUGAAAAAAAAUAUCAAUUUUUAAGUCAUAAUCUUAAAAAAAAAUAAAACACUACCAAAGGGUGAAAAACCAAUGACAUAAUCAUUAAUGAGUCAAGGAACCUAAGAGGAAUGACAGGAAUUUAUCUUAUACGUGUUCUAACAUUUGAAUGAACAAAAGAUAAAGAAAUACCUCUUCACCGAAAAGUGCCAAGUCAUGUUGAGGUGUGGAAGUAGAGCCCCCUGGACUGUUUUUAGAGCAGAAGCUAAUGAGCUGUGGUAAAUCUGCAAGGAUCAACUGUUGUAAUUGCUGAAAUUCAAUUUUAUCAAUUGCAUCGUCAUCUUUCAUGAUAUAUUGUAUCUCCGAACAAAGUCGGAUGUGAAUGUGCUUUAAAUGCAAAAGACCUUCCCUAUUGCCCACCUCGCUGAAAACAAUCUUGGCACCUUUUAGACCUUCCAGAUAAAAAGCUGUUGAUUUCAUCAAUAAACAUUGCACCCUAUCAUCCAGUUGAUUGAUGUUUGUAUUUAGCUUGAGUUUUAGCGCUCUCGAGAAUUCAAUCUCGCCAUGCCAGUAAGAAAGACUUCCAAUGAAAAUCCUUUAUCUUUUCAAUUUUUCAGCGAACAGGCUGAAAAGGUCAUAUGGCACAAUCUUGACAUCAGGAAUACCAGCAUUUAAAGUGGUCAAACAAGGCAAAUCCCUCAAUUCAUCAAGACGAGCAUUGCUUCCUUCGUUCCAACCAUCAAAACUCCUACCCAUAUAUAAUUCUUCUAAUUUGGACAAAUUUGAUAAAACACCUGCUGGAAUUUUAAGAUCGUAACAAUCGCUCAGAUCUAAUAAUCUUAGCUCAGUCAAUUGUCCUGUUUCCUCAGGUAGCAUUUCAAUAUCAGAACCGAAAAGGUUAAGAAUUUCUAGAUUCUUGAGUUUUUCAAGAUUGACCAUGUCUCCCAGCACACAUUGAUUUAGGCACAAUGUUCGAAGACUCGUCGGGAGACUAAUUGGGGAAAAUUUGAUUUAAUAAAAUCUAAGACUUUGAGAUUUUUCAUUUUCUCAAAAAAGUAAGCUGGCAUUUCCACAUCAGAAUCCUUGCUACCCAUACAGAAAAAAUCAAGUUGUGGACAUUCCAACUCAUGAGGAAGCUUCUCAACACUAUCAAAACUCAAACUAAUCAUUUUGAACUUUGUCAUCCUCUCUUCAUCAGGCCAUUCGUCAAAAACACCCUUACGUUUCAAUGCAAAUGCAUGGUUGUCCCUAGAGGCAAUUGCUAAGGCCACAUCACAAUCGAAGUCAUGCAUAUCGAAGCGCUCAUCGCUGUAACUAUCGCGCAACAAACAAAAGGCUUUGAGGUCACUUACCAGAGUCAACACUCUGUUUCGCGUGUCUUCUACUGUGUUGGCAGUAUCAAAUAAACGUAAACCCAUGCCAUAUCUCACCAAGUCUUCAACGCGAGCAUUAUGGCCUAGAAGACCGCAAGACAAGAAAGUCCUUUUGUGUUCCUCGCUGACUAAAGAAUUGUAACUCAGCUCUAUGGCUGAGUAUACAGCUGCUGGUAUCCUUGUGAAGUUGCUUGGAGAAGGCCUCUGAAGUUGCGCGAGAGCAUCCUUCCAUGCAUAUAACUCUUUGCUUCUCAAAGCUCUUGCGACUGUCACAAUGGCGACGGGUAAUCCUUCACACUUUUUGGCUACCUCUGUUGCUACAGGUUGUAACUCAAGAUCUUCAAAAUUGUUCUCAGCCAUCUCCUUAAACAGGUUCCAAGCUUCUGUUUCAUUCAAAACAUCGAUUGCAAAAGGAUUCUUAACAGCCAUCUCAUUGGUUAGAACAUAUCGAUUUCUUGACGUCAACAGUAUCUUGCAUUCCUCGAGUUGAUCUCCAAAAGGAAUUCCGACUUGCUCUAGAUCUAGUCUCGCCCAAACAUCAUCUAAAACAACUAGAAUCUUCUUCUCCUUCUUCAACCUAUCCGACAACGAACGUGCUCUAGCCGGUAUAGUUUUUUCUUCUAAUUUUAAUCGCAAUGAUUCUGCAAUUGCAUUGACAUUUUUCUCAAUGUCAAAAAUCUCGUUUCUUGAAUCAAAAUCCCUAAAAUUUUUAGAUGGUGCACCCCCCGGGGCUGGUGGAACACGACAGUAUCCCACUUUGUUAAAUUGACUAUGUUUGAGAAGGUCGUCAACAGUCGUGCCAGCUUGUUCUGCUUUCUUGCUAAGCUGGUACCGAGACUUGAUAUUGGGACACCAAGUCAAAGAAGCACUUGUUCUUUGCUUUGUCUUCAAGAUCCUUCACUUUCUUCUUCUCUUCAUUGAUUGCCUCGUCCACUUUAUCGCACCAUUGCUGGACGUCCGGUUUUAUCUCCUUCACGUUCCUUUUUGCAGCAUCAACCUCUAGAUGCACACUUUCUCUUUUUGUUAUCAAUGACUUCAUUUUCUCCUCGAACUUAUCAACAUUUUUCUUGUAGACGAAUACAUAUCUCAUAUGACGUUUAAUUUCUUGAAAGAUGCCUCUCGCAGCCUCCGAACAAACAUUGGCAAUGGCGCCAAUAGCACAACCUUCCAUGCUUUUUAUUCAACAGACAAGUAAAGCAAAUCACAGAAGAACAGAGACAAAAGGUAGCAGACCAAAAAUAAAAACAGCGAGAAGAAUAUAUCAGAAAACGAUGUGAGCAAGGAAAAUAAUCAGAAUGGUGAGAAAUUGGAAAUGGCGGCUUUCUCCAUUAGUUAUAGCUAUGAACAAAGAGGCAACUAAGAAUCAAAGUGAAAGGUUCUGGUUUUUUGGGUGGAAAGUAGAGGGAUGUGAGAAGCCGACGCUUUGAGGUGGAGAACAAGAGAAGAGAAGGAAACAACAGAGCAAGCGAAAAACAAAGAAAGGAAGAAAGAUAACAGUCAUGAGUUGAGCAGAAAAGUUGUAUUAAACAACAGAGGAAGCGAAAAAACAGGAAAGGAAGAACGAUAAUAGUGAUGAGUUGGGCAGAAACGUUUUAAACAACAGAGCAAGCUUAAUAGAUAUGUAAUUAAUUUGCAUUUAAAAUAGUACAAAAAAAAAGACAACAGAGGAAAGACUAGAUGCUUUACUAUUUUAAAUAGUAUAAUUACAUAACAUUCUUCAAACAGCCGUUUGAAGAAAAAAUUUUAAAUUGAUGCUUUACUAUUGUAUACAUUUUGUAAUCAUAAGGAAUAUCGUAUUGAAAGAGAAAAACAAGAAUUUUUGAAUUAGCUAUGCAUUGAAGCCCCAAAACUACACUUUUAUAGUAAAUUUCUUUAUUAAUAGCUAGAAGCUCUAUGCUAAAUUAAUAAACUAAUUCUGUAACAAUUCUACAUUAAAUAUUAGUAAAUUUCAUAAGGAACAACAUAUUGAAAGGUGAAAGCAUGAAUUGUUAAAUUAGCUAUACAUUCAAAGUCACCAAAAACUAUACCGUACAACCAUUUUCAGUGAACUCAUAACUCAUAACUACAUACUUCUUCCAUGGAUAGGAAGCUAAAGGCUUAGUUUUAUAUUUCCAGCAAGAUGCUUGCUGUCAUAAUUCAUACAUUUUCAGCGAAAUUCUUUCAAGCAAAGAGCAAAAUGCAGAAAAAAUCUGUUGUUACAAGCAAUGUAACAAUGGCAUGUUUUAAGCAUACUACGGAAGCCACACACUCAAGCAAUGUUGAAAUUCAGUUGGAACACACAAGGCUCUAAACUAAUGAUGCUAUACAAAGAAGAUUAUGAAAAAGUAGUAAGGAAAUUUUAUUGAAUUGAUGCAUACCUUUUUUUUAAACAAUUGCUGAAUAGUGGCAUUAAGGUUUCCUUCCCAAAGUCCUACAUAUUCACCUUCAGUCAAUCGUAUUCCGUGCAGCUUUGGUGUGCUUAUCUCUCCCUUUGAGAAUAUUUCCAUCUUUGGACAUUGUCUCAUGAUUACCUUUUUCAAGGAAGGGAAUCCAAGCGUAUAAUUCCCUGAGCAGAACCUUGAUACGCUCGGAAGACCACCAAGUUCUAAAGACCUCAGUUUAGAAAAUAUAAUGCCAUCCAUCACUUCAUCACUUGUAGAA
rnacentral:lncRNA from 1 species